UUUAAUAAAAUUGUGUGUUUUAUUUUGAUUCCUAUUUUUGUUUCUUAUUUUUUAAAAUAACAUUACUAUAUGUUUAUACUGUAAAAUAAAAUUCUUUCAGUUAAUUAAAAUACGAAACAACUCAACAAUAGAAAAUAGGUAAUUAAAUACUUUUAAAAAUAACAAUUCUUUGGUUUUUGAUUUGAUUUUAUUUUUUUUUUGUAUGAGUGGCCUGCAUACUUGAGUCUAUGCAAUGUGUGUAUGCAGUGUUCACUGAGGCUAGAGGAUGGAGUUGGAUUCCCUGACACUGGAAUUGAGCCAUCAUAUAGGGGUUGUGAAUCCAGCCUGGAUCCUCUGCAAUAGUAGCUGGUGCUUUUAGCCACCGAAUAAGUUCCAGCCCUACUUCUAAAAUUUUAAAUGAAAAGUUGUGUCAGUUUUGCCUAUGUCUAAUUCUCUUAGAUCUUGAGGCCUUAUUAUGUUGAAAAUCUUGGCUUCUACAUGCAGUACAGAUACAGUUUUUUUUAUAAUGUAUCCAUCAGGGUCAUAUCAUAUAUUUGUAAGUAUUAUAUAUUAUACGUGUUUUUAAAAAUAAAAUCUUUCCUUGG
rnacentral:lncRNA from 1 species